ACACGCAUCGGUAGUUUACGGAGUAAUAAUUUGAUACAAAGUAUAUGAAUACGCGAGCCAACUCAUCGCGUGUGUUACGAUUAUAUUGUUUGUGUAUGCGAUUUUACGGGAAUCUGAUCGGUAAUAUUAUAAUUAAAUGUUAAUGUUCUAGCCGUAACAGACAAUAAUUUUCGAUUUGGAACUAUGCCAUUGUGUCCAUUAUAAUUGAUAAUUUGGAAGAUGAAUAACCAUACGUAUCUUAUAUAUUAUAAAGGCCCGAUCUAUCUAUCAGUAACGUUUUUUCUUGUAAAAUACAAAUUGUAGGGUUUAAGUUGAA